AGGUAAUACGAAAUAAAUACCACCAUCAGUUGAAUAUAGCAAGAACUUUAUAAAAGACGAGGCAGACUCACAGAUGGUUUAAGUACAUUAGUAUAUGUCUCAAAACUCUGAGAAACGUAUGACGGUUUUGCGUUCGCAUAUUUUUUUUAAUUAUUUUUUUAUUCUUUUUUUCUUUCAAAUAGAUCACACGCAUGAAAAAAGGUUGUUGCGUAAAGAGGUGUGUUUACAUCGUGCGUAAAAAGUACGAAGAUACAUCAAUCGAAAAAGAGUCAUUAGACGAAGAUAGAAGCUGAAAAAGGAAACGCUCGACUAGAUCGUUCGAUGAACUCCCUCUAGCCCUCGUGUUACGAGAUAUCGUCGAAAAUUAACAUACGUGUCUUUAAGGUGCGUUUUUUGUUCUUGUUCAGCCAUAACGACCGGAAGUUACUGCCAUUAUCGUAAAAAAUGUAAGUCCGUAUGGUUGUUGAUUGUUUUACGAAUCAUUUGUCAUUUAUCACUUGUCAAUGUUUAUCUUGUUUUUAAAAAAGCAUUCUUGUUUAUUUCUCAAUUAUACAGGAGAGAAUAUAACGAUAAAGUGGCAUGAGGAUAACAGUACCGAAAGUAUCGAUACGCAACACGAAAGAGAGAGUCUCAUCGAUAAGAAAAAACGUGACUUUCACUUCUGUUGGAGGAGAAUCAGGAAAAUAUAUCGUUAAAAUUACUGCGAGAAAAAUUAUUUCCAGCGAAGUAAUUCGCUUCGCAGGUGACCGUGGUUCGCGAACUAACACGUGAGCGGUCCUUACCGCGAAAAUGACCUAGGGAGUUGAUAUUGUUCUACGGCGUCAUUGUCCGUCAGCGCACCUCGACGUUCUUACGUGGAACUGCAGAAUUCCGUUUCGUUAGAAACUCAACGGCGAAUGAUAGAUCGGCUUUUAAGUUUCUAUCGUCAAGAUAAUCUUAGCGAUCGUUCAUCGUUCGUUAAGUCGGAUUAUGGAGCAUUUGCUAAUUAAGAAUCUGUUUUUCGUAGAUUUCGAUUGAAAGGAGAUGGGGGAAAUUAUCAAUAGGAUCAUUUAAAUACUAAGGAAAUUGAACAGAGAGAAAUAAAACAUAAAGGAAGAAAGGGAAAAGAAAAGAAACGAAGUAUUAUAUGGGAUCUAAUGAAAAAGGUAUCAUGAGACGGAUGUUUAUUUAACUUGCAAGUAAUCGCCGAAUCCCUAUAAGUUUUGCUAAAUUUUCUAGGGCUUUCUGCAAUGGAUAUGCAUCACCAGUUACAUUCUUCAUAUUUCAUAUCUGGUUUUUAAGGAAAACCGAUAACCUAGAGCCAGGCGCGAUAUUAACGUUCCUCCCCCGACUCUCGGCACCGCUGAAAAGAGUUACAGACGCGGAAUAUCGAUGGACAAAAAUUAAUUAUGCGACGCUGGAGUGGGGAAGAGCAAUAUCGGGUCAGGAACGGAGAGCGAACGGGUAAGAGGCCGAUGUCCGAUAUUUACAUAGAUCGGACAAAAGCACGGGAGUCCUUUUAUUCGUUCCAUCGCUUAGAGCUUCCCAACUUCUGCUACUUCCGUUUUAAGCCUAAAAAUUCGAAGAAAUCCGCAUGAAUAAUUCCAAGAAUACUUGCAGAAUACGGAGUUAAUCUUUCAAACUAUUCGUCAUGGAUUGCUUAACUUCGCACGCAUCGAUUUCCAUGAAGCCCAAUUGACCCAGGCUGAUGAAAAAGACCAGAAGACGACGAAACUUGGUUUAAUCGAAGGAAGAAACUACAGAUAAUAAGAGAUAAGAGAAACCGUACAGAUGAUCGUAAUAUACGGCAGUAAAAGAUUGGAAUCAAGGACGAAGUCAAAGAGAGAGAAACGAGGCUCCUUGACCCGACUGAUACGCUGAUCCUCCUCAUAAAUUCCGAGAGUGCCUACCACAGUACAGCAUAGUUAUGUAUGUACUCCGCUUGGUGUUCCGCAUUUCUCGGCGACGAUGCCCGCACUCGGCCCUCGCGAGAGUGAGUUUAAUUGACUGAAGUGCCGAGCCGAAUCGCGGGCUCGAGGACUUCGAAGCGUGUAUGGGCGCUCGUUAACAUCGACAACACGUGGGAGAUAAGAUCAGAUGAUUUGUCAAUUUCUUUUAAAGCUCCAAUCUCGUUUCGUCUAUACAUUAAGGUAUUUCAAUUCUAUAGCAUAUUAUACGUACUUAACGCACUUUCCUGAAUUAAACUGGAUAAUUAUAUGAUGUACAGGAUGAACGAGAACUCUGGAUUACUCUGUAUUUAACGAGGCGUGAAAAUUCGCAUGAUUAUUUGUUAAACCAAGUAUGCGUGCAAACGUAUUUACAGGAUGUAUCGGGUCACUUAUAACUUUGAAAAUUGGAUACCAAUUGUGACUGAAAUGCUUGCGCUAGUGCUAUUUCAGCUAUCCGAAACAUGUAGAUAUUGGAUACGCUACGUAAUCCGAAUAUUGGAUAGAGCAUUUGAUAUUCCAGGUGUCGUGCGACAUAUAUCCAGUACACCAGCACCAAUUAGAACGCGCCAAAGCGGAAAUCGCAGGUUUAUCGCGCUGACAGACACGGGGAUUUAAUCGUUCGAUCGGAUUAGGUGCGAUUGUCAGAGCUGCUGUCACGCCUGUCGCAAGCGUUUCGAUAGAAAAUUGAAAACCGUGAAACAGGAGAGUUUAGACUGGCAAGGAGGGACACACGUGAGAUUCCUGUAAACGGUUCCAUUUCUUUAAUACGUGUUCGCUUUUGUGCGGACGCGAACGUUACGAUCGAUAAAAUCUGACAAAUUACACAACAAUACAAUGACAUUAGAUACGAUCGGUCUUUUGUUGCCGAUAAAAAUCUCCUCCAACUUGAUCUGGUCGCUGUUGUUUCGGACGAAUCACCGUGUCGAUUCGCGGCCGUUUCUCGGCUAUCUUUAUACUCUGUUUAAUUAAUUUCGACUAGAACCAAGUUCGAGGAUUGUUGGCCAUUAGGCGGGAUAUCUGACAAGCCUCGGGGACGUAUCAACGUCGACGAUUCCCGUCGGUGGUCCUGUACACACGACUGUAUAUUAGAUAAGAAAACUUUGAAUCGAGGAUACUGAUGGGAAGUGCGUGCGCUGCACGAGAGAUCGCUUCCCCUAUUUUUUCUUCUCUAUUACGUUCACAGAAACGUAUUACAUGUAAGUAGAUUCUGACGAUCCUCAGCCUUCAUAGACGUAGGAUCAUCCAGGAUCGCAGGAUCGUAUCUUUCAUUCAUCGUUUCGUUAUUUUUCUUUCCCUCUCGCUUUGUUUCUUAUUUCUUUUCCUUUUUUAACUUGACAAAUACAACGUCUUCUCCAAUUCUUGCCGUAGCUCAUUGUCAUCGCGAAAUUAAAAGAAGAAGCACGGACAAAUGCAAUCUUGACGACGAUGUGAAUUUAAGUGGGCAUUAUAUUAAAAUGGAAAUAAGUUCUCGCCGCUAGCUCAGCCGGCUAUAUCUUGGAAAUCGAACAGACGGCUUGAAAUUUAGUACAGUUAUAUACAAAGUAUACAGACUCCACUACUUCAGAGGAGGGAUACAACUUUCAUGCGACGUGUCGGUUUCUCGAUCAGCGCGAUUGCUGUUUCCGGUUAAAAGCACCGGCUCGAAUUUCGCAAAUACUGUUACUUCUGUACUCUAAAAUCCAAUGCCCAGGUAACCAAAAGACACUUAGACUAAUGAAAUAAUCGAACGCUAAGAUACAAUUUUUUAUUCAAAAUUAUCUCACAAGGUUGUUAUCUUUCAGAGUCUACGUCAUCGAGAUGAAGAAUGUUCGAAAACGUCUAUUAACUACAACAAUUAAAGGAAAUUUUCGUAAUAAAGAUGGAGCGAAAUCAGAGAUAUAUCGUGGCUGAAGAUGAAGGCCAGAGAUAGAAUGAGAUAGAAAACUAGCCAGAGGAAAUUAAGGAUAUCCCUGGCUUUCGUGAAACAUCAUCAGCUUUCGCGUCGGUGCUUUUAAUCAGGCAUCACGGAACCCAACGAGUUUCGUGUGUACAAGCAAGCCCGAAUCACCUGCGGGCACACGUGCGCGGUACACGACGAUUCAUGGUGGUCUGUUAAACGUAUAUGUGGUGUGUGGACUGACGGUGGCGUAUCGACCGUCUCGUUACCGAUGUAGCUAGAUGCGGACAUUGAUGUGCACGUAUCCUUCACGUACGUCUUCCGGUGUACGUCGUUAUUUGCAGCUACGAUUACACAGGAAAUGGAGAAAGGAAUUGGAUAUGGAGUCUUCAAAUGGGACGUCAUAUCUAGACGAAGAUAUGGGAUGAGGUAGAAGGACAGGUUUCACGAAUCGCUUAUGGAAUUCCUACUGUUCCGAAGAAAAUCGAUGUUGUAAUGGAAUAAUACCAAGUACUAGCACGUAGACUUCGCUGGUUUGAAUUGUACAUUUCCUUGUCUCCAGACAGGCGUAUUCCAAGUUGAGGUAGAAGAUGAAAAGUACUGAUUUGUGAAUUACUUUAGGUGGAGAAGGAGAAGGAAGAUGUAGGACUUUCCUGGUGAAAGGAAAGUUCGCACGAUGGGGUAUCUACAUCUGUCGAGGCUUGUAUAAAGCUUUGUCCAGUAUCUGCUCUUGACUAAAGAGGAAUUGAAGAAGGAGCAAACUGCUUUGGGAUGCAGGAGUGGCGAAGCGCAGUAAGUUAUCGGUUCUUUGGGAAUAAGGUGUACGGAGAUAACGCGAAUACAAGAACAGAGGUAUUUUUAGGGGCAAAGAAGGGAAGUCGAAAGCGCAAGAGAUAAAGGGAAUACAAGAUCCGAGGGAAUUGAAAAAUCUGAAAAAGGAAUAGGAAUCGAAGCAGAUAAAUUAAAUGCUGAGCUACUUCGGAGAAGAUCCUCGACUACCGUCCCAUUUGAAAAUUGAAAGCUCAGAAAUGAAGAACAGAAAUGAUAGAUGGCAAGAGAGGUGAUGGUAAAGUAGAUGAUAAAUAGACGACGCAAGGGCUGAGAGGUGCAAUAUCGUCGAAGACCUCGCACGUAUGGUGACACUAGACUGGUACAGGUACAGUAGAACAUGGCCAGAGUGGUUGAAGAAAGGAGUGUGUACUUUCGACGAGCAAUAAACUGGAUGUUUCUUCGAUCUAGGUGCUACAUGCGGCACGUUGUUCGUGCUUCUUUCACUCUAUAUAGGGAAUAUUCGUUAAUUUCUUUCUGGUAUAACUGCACCUUCGAUCGUGUUAUCUAGAACGCGUAGUUAUAUCUCCAGAUAGGUAAUUUAUCGAUAAAACGACGACGGUUAGCUUAAUUCGUAAUUGCUAAUUUUCGAGAAACAGAAUAAUUGUACACAUAUAUGUAUCAAUGAGUGAUUCGGAAUUGUAAAAUUGAUCGACGAAUGAGAUAAAGAUAGACUUGACAUACAUACAUACA